GCGGAGACAGAUGUUUCCGUUCACUCCUCACACCACACUCCGCCCGGACUAUUGUCUGGGCGGUU
rnacentral:sRNA from 20 species